CUGGCUGUACUCAGUCUCCACACUGCUGGCUCCCUAGAGCAGACAUUUGCUUGUCUUCCCAAGGUCACCCUCUCCGCCCACACAUCAGUUAAGAACAGCCCCAUUCAGGCAUCGGCCCAUUCUCUUCGCCCAGUACUUUAGAAGAUCCGGAGGCAGCUCGGCCAUGCAUACAUCCCACAGUCUAGAGAGCAGGAAGACACCAUGAAAUGAAGAGCCUCCUCUUCCAUAAACAGCUGGACUCCUCAGAGGCCCACUGCAACGGAGUCACAAUGAUUGAGGCCUCAGAAACCAUGUGUGGGGAGGCAAACAGAUGCCAUAGCAUGCUACAUGGAGAUCAGAAGACAACCAGCAUUAUUUAGUUUUCUCACCACAGGUUAUCAGGUUUGGCUGAAAGAACGUUUACCCAAUGAGUGAUGUCUCCAGCACCACCUCCUUAUAUUUCAGGACCAUGUGAUUCCCAUCAUGCACCAUGAAAAAAUGCAAGUGUAUCAGUUAGGAGUUGCUUAUGAGUAAGAUGGCCAUGAGAUAACAAGGAAUCCCCGAAUGAAGCACACACAAAGCUUCUCCAUGCAGCUGAGGUCCUUCAUACUCAUGGCAAGUA
rnacentral:lncRNA from 1 species